CACAAUCUGCAUUCACUAUACACACUACAUCCAGUAUACAAACAUAUACUCUGCAUUCACUAUACACACCACAUCCACCACACAAACAUACACUCUGCAUGUAAUACUGCUCUCUCAAACUGCUCUCAUUCAUCUGGUGUUGUGUUAUGCUACUGUCGUACCCAUCCUAAAAAAGCCAUCCCUAGACCCGUCUUCCCCCUCCAACUAUCGUC